UACGUAGGGGGCAAGCGUUGUCCGGAUUUAUUGGGCGUAAAAGGCUUGUAGGUGGCCACGCCAAGUCGGAUGUGAAAUCUCCCGGCUCAACUGGGAGGGGUCAUUCGAUACUGGCGGGCUCGAGGCCGGUAGGGGGAAGUGGAAUUCCCGGCGUAGUGGUGGAAUGCGUAGAUAUCGGGAGGAACACCAAUGGCGAAGGCAGCUCUCUGGGACGGUACUGACGCUGAGACGCGAAAGCGUGGGGAGCGAACAGG
rnacentral:rRNA from 1 species